GAUGAACGCUGGCGGCGUGCCUAACACAUGCAAGUCGAGCGAUUUACUUCGGUAAAGAGCGGCGGACGGGUGAGUAACGCGUGGGUAACCUGCCCUGUACACACGGAUAACAUACCGAAAGGUAUGCUAAUACGAGAUAAUAUACUUUUAUCGCAUGGUAGAAGUAUCAAAGCUCCGGCGGUACAGGAUGGACCCGCGUCUGAUUAGCUAGUUGGUAAGGUAACGGCUUACCAAGGCGACGAUCAGUAGCCGACCUGAGAGGGUGAUCGGCCACAUUGGAACUGAGACACGGUCCAAACUCCUACGGGAGGCAGCAGUGGGGAAUAUUGCACAAUGGGCGAAAGCCUGAUGCAGCAACGCCGCGUGAGCGAUGAAGGCCUUCGGGUCGUAAAGCUCUGUCCUCAAGGAAGAUAAUGACGGUACUUGAGGAGGAAGCCCCGGCUAACUACGUGCCAGCAGCCGCCGUAAAAC
rnacentral:rRNA from 1 species